UACAGAGGGUGCAAGCGUUGUUCGGAAUUAUUGGGUUUAAAGGGUGCGUAGGCGGCCUAUUAAGUCAGGGGUGAAAGACGGUAGCUUAACUAUCGCAGUGCCUUUGAUACUGAUAGGCUUGAAUGUACUUGAGGUAGGCGGAAUGUGACAAGUAGCGGUGAAAUGCAUAGAUAUGUCACAGAACACCAAUUGCGAAGGCAGCUUACUAAAGUAUGAUUGACGCUGAGGCACGAAAGCGUGGGGAUCAAACAGG
rnacentral:rRNA from 1 species